AACGAACGCUGGCGGCAUGCCUAACACAUGCAAGUCGAACGAGACCUUCGGGUCUAGUGGCGCACGGGUGCGUAACGCGUGGGAAUCUGCCCUUCGGUUGGGCAUAACUGAGAGAAAUUUCAGCUAAUACCUUAUAAUGUCUUCGGACCAAAGAUUUAUCGCCGAGGGAUGAGCCCGCGUAGGAUUAGGUAGUUGGUGGGGUAAUGGCCUACCAAGCCGACGAUCCUUAGCUGGUCUGAGAGGAUGAUCAGCCACACUGGGACUGAGACACGGCCCAGACUCCUACGGGAGGCAGCAGUGGGGAAUAUUGGACAGUGGGCGAAAGCCUGAUCCAGCAAUGCCGCGUGAGUGAUGAAGGCCUUAGGGUUGUAAAGCUCUUUUACCCGGGAUGAUAAUGACAGUACCGGGAGAAUAAGCUCCGGCUAACUCCGUG
rnacentral:rRNA from 1 species